rnacentral:rRNA from 1 species
GACGAACGCUGGCGGCGUGCCUAACACAUGCAAGUCGAGCGGGGUUGAAGCGAGAGGUAACUCGAGUUUCUACCUAGCGGCGGACGGGUGAGUAACGCGUGGGCAACCUGCCUCAAGGUCUGGGAUAACAGCCCGAAAGGGCUGCUAAUACCGGGUAUGCUUGUGGCCUCGCAUGGGGCUAUGAGCAAAGGGGAAACCCGCCUUGAGAUGGGCCCGCGUCCCAUCAGCUAGUUGGUGAGGUAACAGCUCACCAAGGCGACGACGGGUAGCCGGCCUGAGAGGGUGACCGGCCACACUGGGACUGAGACACGGCCCAGACUCCUACGGGGGGCAGCAGUGGGGGAUCUUGCACAAUGGGCGAAAGCCUGAUGCAGCGACGCCGCGUGAGCGAAGAAGGCCUCGGUUGUAAAGACUCUGUCUGGAGGGACGAAGGAAGUAGACGGUACCGUCCGGAGGAAGACCACGGCUAACUAACGUGCCAGCAGCCGCGGUAAACACGAGAGUAA